rnacentral:rRNA from 1 species
AUUGAACGCUGGCGGCAUGCCUUACACAUGCAAGUCGAACGGCAGCACGGGAGCAAUCCUGGUGGCGAGUGGCGAACGGGUGAGUAAUACAUCGGAACGUGCCCAAUCGUGGGGGAUAACGCAGCGAAAGCUGUGCUAAUACCGCAUACGAUCUACGGAUGAAAGCAGGGGAUCGCAAGACCUUGCGCGAAUGGAGCGGCCGAUGGCAGAUUAGGUAGUUGGUGAGGUAAAGGCUCACCAAGCCGUCGAUCUGUAGCUGGUCUGAGAGGACGACCAGCCACACUGGGACUGAGACACGGCCCAGACUCCUACGGGAGGCAGCAGUGGGGAAUUUUGGACAAUGGGCGAAGGCCUGAUCCAGCCAUGCCGCGUGCAGGAUGAAGGCCUUCGGGUUGUAAACUGCUUUUGUAUGGAACGAAACGGCCUUUUCUAAUAAAGAGGGCUAAUGACGGUACCGUAAGAAUAAGCACCGGCUAACUACGUGCCAGCAGCCGCGGUAAUACGUAGGGUGCAAGCGUUAAUCGGAAUUACUGGGCGUAAAGCGUGCGCAGGCGGUUAUGUAAGACAGUUGUGAAAUCCCCGGGCUCAACCUGGGAACUGCAUCUGUGACUGCAUAGCUAGAGUACGGUAGAGGGGGAUGGAAUUCCGCGUGUAGCAGUGAAAUGCGUAGAUAUGCGGAGGAACACCGAUGGCGAAAGCAAUCCCCUGGACCUGUACUGACGCUCAUGCACGAAAGCGUGGGGAGCAAACAGG